GGAAGGAUCAUUAACAAGGAAGGAAUGGUUGUUGCGGCGGGAGGGAGGAUGAUGGUGGUGGGAGGAGGAGAAUCAGUCACUGAUUGUGAUUGUGUUUGCUCUUUCCAUCCAUCCAUCUCUUCCCCCCUCGCACACCCAUCACAUUCACCCGAGCAGCCUUAUUGGCUGCUGGGAAGCAGGUCGUGAACGACUUGCAUAUAGACACGUGGAUGUAUGUUAUGUUAUGUUAGUAUAUUUAUUUAAAACAACUUUUAACAAUGGAUCUCUUGGCUCUUGCAACGAUGAAGAACGCAGUGAAAUGCGAAACGUAAUGCGAUUUGCAUAAUUCUGUGAGUCAUCGAGUUUUUGAACGCACCUGGCACUCUCUGUAACAGGAGAGUAUACCUGUUUGAGAAUCGAAAAAUAUGAUCAUUCUGGAAAAGGAUGGAAAUGAGGCGAUAGUUGGUGGAUGAGUGAUUGUGCAAACAGUUGGUCAUUUAUAAUUGUGCUUCUAAAUGGAUUAGGCAGAUGCAUUUCCACCAAUUCGAUGGUUGACACUAUGUGGUAGAGACAGUUAGUCUUGGAUCAUGGGUUGGUCAAGAAUUGGGUAGGUGAAAUGAGCCUUGUGUGUGGGGGGAGGUGGGUGGGUGGCGCGCGUGAUUUGCGAUGGUGUGAUUUUGCGACAUGCGGUAACGCAGGUUGCUUCUCGCAUCCCCGCACAUCACAUCACACCACACCACACCACACACAUCCCACACACUACUCUACACCACACACUUCCGAUCUCAAAUCAGGCAAGACUACCCGCUGAACUUAAGCAUAUCAGUAAGCGGAGGAAAAGAAACUAACAAGGAUUCCCCUAGUAACGGCGAGUGAAGCGGGAACAGCUCAAAUUUAAAAUUGGAGAAUUUGGUUCUCUGAAUUGUAGUUUAAAGAAAUGUUAUCUGGAAGUGGAAUGCGUUCAAGUUCCUUGGAAUAGGACAUCACAGAGGGUGAGAAUCCCGUCUGGACGCAAUUGUACUUGCUUGAUGAGACAUUUUCGACGAGUCGAGUUGUUUGGGAUUGCAGCUCAAAUGGGAGGUAAAUUUCUUCUAAAGCUAAAUAUUGGCAAGAGACCGAUAGCGAACAAGUACCGUGAGGGAAAGAUGAAAAGCACCUUGAAAAGGGAGUUAAAUAGUGCGUGAAAUUGUUAAAAGGGAAACGAUUGAAACCAGUAUGAAGAAUGGUGGUUCAGCAGGAAUCGACGGAAGAUGAUCGCAUGCAGAAUCUCUCUCGAGGUCUGUAUCGGUCGUUUGAACUGGAUGACUGUGCAUUCUGUUAUUUUUCAGUCAAAAUCAGUUUAGUUAGUUGAACAUUACUAAGAAAAAGAUGGUAUUAAUCUUCGGAUUAAUAUUUUAUAGAUUCAUAGUAGCACAAUUGGUUAGACUGAAUGAUUGAGUAAUUGUUGUAAUAAAUAAAUGAAUUUGAUUCAUUGAUUAAUUUGAACAGCUUGCUGAUUAGGUUAAUUCAAAGUACAAUGCAACUUAUUUAAUAAUAAUUACAAUUUUGACGAAAUGGUUUUAAACGACCCGUCUUGAAACACGGACCAAGGAGUCUAACAUGUAUGCGAGUAUUUGAGUGGUAAACUCGAAUGCGUAAUGAAAGUGAGCAGAUGGGAAUCUUUAUUGAUGCACCAUCAACCAAUCCACUGUUGUUGUAGAUUUGAGUAAUAGCAUACCUGUUGGGACCCGAAAGAUGGUGAACUAUACCUGAAUAGGGUGAAGCCAGAGGAAACUCUGGUGGAGGCUCGUAGCCGUUCUGACGUGCAAAUCGAUGGUCAAAUUUGGGUAUAGGGGCGAAAGACUAAUCGAACCAUCUAGUAGCUGGUUCCCUU
rnacentral:misc_RNA from 1 species